AGUGCGACGUAAAUUAACAACAACCGAGUAAAAAACUUUAUUUGAAUUAAAAUAAAUAAUUUAAUUCUUCGUUAAAACAUUUAGCAGUUUUUUUUAUAAUUCUAUUUUAAAACAGAAUAGGUAAAACCUACAAAGGUAAUUGGACCUUUUUACUCUCAUUUAAAAUAGUAUUGUUACUUGUGACUAAUGACAUAGAUAAUGAAAUGUUUAAAUAAUUAUUAUUAAUGGCUUGGUUAGGAAUAAAAUUUAUGGUAUUUAUUUAUGCAGCAAGACUAAACUACAAAAAUUAAAAGAAAUGAAGACAAAAUCAGACGAAAUUGGAAAAACCCAUUUCUUGAAAAAACCUGAAUCGGUUCUUUCAGGGAUUCGAUAUUAUUUUUUUUUUUAAAGUUUUUUAAAGUAAUAAAUGCAUUUAUCCAAUACUGCAUUAUUUAUAAGUAUAUUGUGUUAUGCCUGAAAUUUUCAUAAGAAUUUCCAUGUUCUUUAAUAUUAAAACUUUCAUUAUGUCAAGAGAAAAAUAAAACAAGAUAUCUUUAAUUUAUAAGUAAUUGAACUAUAUACCUACCCUGGAAAAAGGACAUUAUAUAAUUCUGAAGAACAGCAUUUUUAUGUAUAGAACUGAGGAGCAAACAGCCAGCAUAACUCACUCCUAUACAUAUGCUUCCAAUACAUUUAUAUUUAAAACUGGACACGACGGAUCAAAACUGGAAUUUCAACAAGCACUGACCUGGAAAUCGUAAUAAUUCUCAGGCCAGCAUGGUUGAAAAUUCAGUCGAUGAAGGAACCUUCUCUCUACAUUUAAGGAUGCAUCACAAUAACUGAUGAUCAUAACAACCUGGAAGAAAACUAAAAGCAUUGCAACUGGAUAAACAAAACAUGAAGCACAAAUUGUGAUACAACAGAACUUGUUCUUUCCAAUUAUUGAUUCAUGAACCCUUAAUAUUAUUCAAAAUUUUAAUAUUAAUUUAAAAAUAUCAUUUAUAGUAGUAAUGCUAUUCUUGCAUCAUCAAACAAAUAAUGAAGUAUGUAAGCAUAAAAACUUUAGCACAUGUAAUCCAAAUUUCAAAAACUAGCAAUAUAAUAAAAUCAGUGUAUCUGCUACAUUUUAAAUUA